GGGAAAUGAUCUUCCGCUACUUCAGCGCCUGGGCGAUAUCGCUCAGGCUCUCCCUCUAGAAAGUCUUGGACCUGUUGUGGGAAAUUGUUCCAGAGCUACCAGGCUCAUUUCUCACCUACCUUGGAAUAAAACACCUCUUGUGAAGUAAGAAGGAGGAUUUUCUAGGAACAGAAUCCCACGUGUAAGAGAACCACUCCACCACUUGAAUGAGUUUUUCAGCAGAAACAGUAGUUCCAGAGAGGAGCCGAUCCCAGGUUACUGACACCUGCCCAGCCUAUACCUUCAGAGAUUUCAGCAUUUUUCCAAGACCAGCAAAAUAUGAAGAAAUUCUAUCUUUCUGGUGGCAGUGAUGAAAUAAAUGACUGCAGUUAUUCUUCAGUGGAAGCAAAGGACAGUACCAAACAGAAUCCAGUUAAUGAGGUUUUCAGGAGACCAUAUUACUGAUGCUCAUGUAGACAGCUUUCCGAUGGUCUUCUUGUAUUUUUCCCCCAGAUAAAACUAGCGUAUCUACAGAGUAAAUUGACCUCGUGUCCUUAAAAUUCCAAAAUUCUUAUUCUUGCUCAAUAUGUAGAAUGGUCAGUUAAGAGAUGAUUUAUGGCAGAUGUUUCUGUACUUAAAUUUCUUUCUUUCUUUCUUUUUUUUUUUAAGUUUUAAUUCUAGGGCCGCAUCUGUGGCACAUGGAGGUUCUCCCGCUAGGGGUCUAAUCAGAACUAUAGCCACUAGCCUACGCCAGAGCCACAGCAACGUGGCUUCCAAGCCGCAUCUGCGACCCACACCACAGCCUACGGCAAUGCCAGAUCCCCAACCCAUUGAGCCAGGCCAGAGAUCAAACCCACAACCCCAUGGUUCCUAGUCAGAUUCGUUAAGCACUGAGCCACGAUGGGAACUCCUGUACUUAAAUUGCAAUCUGCUUUAUGCAGAAUGGUUUCUUUCUCAUCAUUUGCUGGAAUUUGGUCAAUAAAAGUCAUCAAUAAUAUAUAUUUGUUCAUUGUGGUUAAAUACACAGAAACAUUAGACAUUUUAAAGUGUACAAUUCAGUGGCAUUUAGUACAUUCACAGUGAUGUGCAGCCAUCAUCACUAUCUAGUUCCAGAACAUUUCCAUCAUCCCAAAACCUAAUACCCUUUAAAAAUCAUUCUCCAUUCCCCUUUUACCCCAGUCCCUCAUCUACUUUCUGACUUUUAUGCCUCUUCUGGAUAUUUUAUAUAAAUGUCAUCAUAAGAUAUGUGUUUUUUUGCAUUUUUCAGUUAAUACUGUUUUCAAGGUCUGCCCAUAUUGUAGCAUGUAUCAGACUUCAUUUCUUCCCCCACUCCACCUUUAUUAAUGUAUAAUUAACAAAAUUGUAAGAUAUUUAAAGUAUUUAUCAUGACAAUUUGAUAUACAUGUACAUUGUAAAAGGAUUCUUCCCAUGUAGUAAAUUAACAUGUCAAUCACCUCAGUUAUUUAUCUUUUUUGGGGGGUGGCAAGAACAUUUACAUUAUCUUAGCAAAUUUCAGUUAUACAUUAUGGUGUUAUCAAUGUUAGUUAUCAUGUUAUACAUUAGAUCCUCAGACUUUAUUCAUUUUAUAGUGAAAGUUUGUACCCUUUUACCAAGAUUUCAUUUCUUUUUUACGGCUGAAUCAUAUCCCAUUGUAUGGAUGUGUACCGCAUUUUAUUUAUACGUUUAUCAAUUGAUUGAUGUUUGUGUUGUUUCCAUGCUAACACUACUGUGCUGCUGUCAACAUUUGUGGACAUUUUUGUUUAAAUAUUUGUUUUCAAUGCUGGGUAUUUACCUACAGGUUGAAAUGCUGGGCCCUAUAUUAAUUAUAUUUAACUUAAUGAGGACCCAUCAAACUUUUUCACAAUGGCUGCACAUUCACCAGCGGUGUAUCAGAGUUCCAUUUUUUUCUCAUUCUUCAGCAGUGUUUUUGUCUAUUUUUUUUUAUUAUAGCCAUCCUGGUGGGUGUGAAGUUGUAUUUCAUUGUGGUUUUGAUUUGCUUUUCUCUAAUGACAAAUGAGCACCUUUUUGUGUGCUUGUUGAACAUUUCUAUAUCUACUUUGCAGACAUGUCUAUUCAUCUCCUUUGUCCAUUUUAAAAUUGGGUUAUUUUAAGAGUAUUUUGGGUACUAGGCUUUUAUUAGAUAGGUGAUUUUCAAAUAUUUCCUCCCAUCUUUGAAUUGUAUUUUCAUUCUCUUGAUAGUAUAUUCUUUGAAUCAAAAACGAUUUUAAUUCUAAUAAAAUUUGAUAAAAAUUUGGCU
rnacentral:lncRNA from 1 species